GUAGGUGAACCUGCGGAAGGAUCAUUACCGAGAUUUUUUCCUGCUUGCAGGAAAUCUCCCACCCUCUGUGUACCAAAUUUUAUACUUUGGUGAAGCGUUUUCUUCACAGGAACCAUCGGCUGUCAAGCGGGUGUGUCUUCACCAAAGGACCCCUUAACUCUUUAUUUUAUCAAUUGUCUGAGUUUAUAUUUUAAAUAAACAAAACUUUCAACAACGGAUCUCUUGGUUCUGGCAUCGAUGAAGAACGCAG
rnacentral:misc_RNA from 1 species